UUCCUACGGGAGGCAGCAGUGGGGAAUAUUGCACAAUGGGGGAAACCCUGAUGCAGCAACGCCGCGUGAGUGAAGAAGGUUUUCGGAUUGUAAAGCUCUGUUAGCAGGGAAGAGGAAGGACGGUACCUGCAGAGGAAGCAUCGGCUAACUCCGUGCCAGCAGCCGCGGUAAUACGGAGGAUGCGAGCGUUAUCCGGAUUUAUUGGGUUUAAAGGGUGCGCAGGCGGAGGUGCAAGUCAGCGGUCAAAUUGCGGGGCUCAACCCCGUACUGCCGUUGAAACUGCAUCCCUUGAGUGCGCGAGAAGG
rnacentral:rRNA from 1 species